GAUGAACGCUGACAGAAUGCUUAACACAUGCAAGUCUUUGGCGAAGCUGUGCUUGCACAGCCUAGCCAAGGCGGACGGGUGAGUAACGCGUAAGGAACUUGCCCUGCAGUCAGGGAUAACAGACGGAAACGACUGAUAAGACCUGGUAAAGUCAGGCGGACUCAUGUCCAGCCUGAUGAAAAGAGAUGCUGCAGGAGAGCCUUGCGUCCUAUUAGCUUGUUGGUGGGGUAACGGCACACCAAGGCGAUGAUAGGUAGCCGGCCUGAGAGGGUGGACGGCCACAAGGGGACUGAGAUACGGCCCUUACUCCUACGGGAGGCAGCAGUGGGGAAUAUUGGACAAUGGGGGCAACCCUGAUCCAGCAAUUCUGUGUGCACGAUGAAGGUUUGCGGAGUGUAAAGUGCUUUCAGCAGGGAAGAAAAAAAUGACGGUACCUGCAGAAGAAGCGACGGCUAAAUACGUG
rnacentral:rRNA from 1 species